AACGCACAUUGCGCCCGCCAGUAUUCUGGCGGGCAUGCCUGUUCGAGCGUCAUUUCAACCCUCAAGCCCAGCUUGGUGUUGGGGAUCGGCACAGGCGCCCUCGGGCGCCAGCCGUCCCCUAAAUCUAGUGGCGGUCCCGCUGCAGCCUCCUCUGCGUAGUAGUUUUCUCCUCGCAAGGGCAGCUCGGUGGCGACCUCGCCGUAAAACCCCCAACUUCUGAAAGGUUGACCUCGAAUCAGGUAGGAAUACCCGCUGAACUUAA
rnacentral:misc_RNA from 2 species